rnacentral:lncRNA from 1 species
UAUUUCUGCCUGUCACUUAUUAUCUGGUUGAGCUGGUGGCGGGAGUCCCGGCCCAUGUGUGUUACCAGAGGGAUGGUCUAGAGAAUGAAUCCAUCUGUCAGAGGCAUCCAAGAAGAAAGGCCUGGGCCAGGAUCACAUGGAAGACCCUGAAGACAGGAUCGGGUCUUGCCUGCCUGGAUUGAACAGAGACGCAGUGACCAGUCCCAUCUGCUCCCACCCUGCUGCCCUCUGAAUCGAGAGUUUGAGGCCAUGACCAGGGUAACGUUCAGCUGGUAGAGACAACACAACCCUGCUGGCUGUUUAAGCCAUGCUGGAGUGGUGCUCACAGGGUAACAAUUCUGAGUGAUGAACAGAAGCAGCACUUGAGCCAGACUCUGACCAAGAACUGCGGGCAGGCUAGAGCCACACAGAUCCCCGCCUCAGUAGACCGGCUGCAGCAGGAGGUACACCAUGCCCUAUGGCCUUGAAGGCCAAGCAGACACAGUUCAAGUGCUACGGAUGCAAUAGCUCAGCGACUGGCAGCGCAGCACGUACCUGCUGUCGUGGGAGGUGAGAGCCACCAGUGCCCGACAGCGGCUGCAAGGCAGUGGUGGCGCUCUGCAGCCAGCCGGCCCACCCCUCCAACAUCUGCAAGGGGGUGGGAGGCUGCCUCACCAAGCUACCUGCUACUCAUGGGGGCGAUGGGCAUCAGGGUGGCCUGCCUGGAGCGGCAGAUAUCUCCAGUAACUGGGCUGGCAUGUCCGUGCCCUGCGCUGCUCUCUUCUCUCAGCUUCCCUUUGCAACCAAGGCUGAUUCCCACAGUCAGUCUCUCCCCCAGAGAACAUGAAGGAAGAUGCCUGAGGGACAACAUUAACUUGUCAGGAACAGGGGCCUGGGAGGAGUGUGGAUGUGGGCUCAGGUACGGGCAUGCACCUUGAGUGUGUGCAUGUGGGGGUCAGUGUGCAAGCCUGCCGUGGUGUGUGUGGGUCCGUGGGGGUCCCCAUGUUCCCGGGUCUAUGUGGGUGGGGUGGUAUGCACUGUGUGUGUUUAGGGUGCUUGUGCAUGUGUGAGUGUGUACAUAUCUGCAUUCAUUCCUGUGUGUGUCUGCGUCUGUGUCUGUGUGUGUGUGUCUGUGUCUGUGGGUGUGUGUGUGUGUGUGUGUGGGUGUGUGUGUGUGUGUGUACCAUCAGCCCUCCAUAUCCACAGGUUCUGUAUCCUUGGAUUCAACCAACCAUGGAAUAAAAGUACUAACAAAAAGGAUGGUUAUGUCUGCACUGAACAUCCUUGUCAUUACCCCCUAAACAAUACAGCGUGACAACGAUUUACAUAGCAUGUGGAUUGUAUUAGGAAUUACAAGUAAUCUAGAGAUGAUUUAAAGAAUGUGGGAGGAUGUGCAGACGUCACAUGCAAAUACUGCACCAUUUUAUAUCAGGGACUUGAGCAUCAGUGGAUUUUGGAAUCCAGAACAACUGUAUAUAAGUGCGCGUGUGCGUGU